rnacentral:lncRNA from 1 species
AUGGCCCCUGUCUUUAACUGCAACAAGAGUCAUCAUACUAAUUUGCUUCUUUAUCCAUUAGGCCUAAUCAGUGAUGUAAAAAAUGACCCAAUAUUUGCCUUACAUUUGCUUUCAGGGAGAAGACGGAGAACGCAGGUGAUCUUCAUGGAUAACCAGGAGACUGUUGUUCAACAUCCAGACACCAAGCAGAGUAUGAUGGGUUUCGGGGAGGAGGCAGGACUAACGGCAAGAUUCUGCGAGGAGCUCUUUUCUCGGCUGUCUGCAGUUGACAAUCAGGAGGUCACAUGUCAUCUGGGGAUGAGCUACUUCGAGGUGUACAACGAGAAAACCCAUAACUUGCUCGUGGUCAGGGACGAACAAAACCACAGCUCUGAGGGUGAGGGAACAUCCAGUCCACGGGCCUUAUGUUGCUGA